rnacentral:rRNA from 1 species
GACGAACGCUGGCGGCGUGCUUAACACAUGCAAGUCGAACGAUGAAGCUGGAGCUUGCUCCGGUGGAUUAGUGGCGAACGGGUGAGUAACACGUGAGCAAUCUGCCCUUGUCUCUGGGAUAACUGCGGGAAACUGUAGCUAAUACCGGAUACGAGGCUCGAAGGCAUCUUCGGGUCUGGAAAGAAUUUCGGUCAAGGAUGAGCUCGCGGCCUAUCAGCUUGUUGGCGAGGUAAUGGCUCACCAAGGCGACGACGGGUAGCCGGCCUGAGAGGGUGACCGGCCACACUGGGACUGAGACACGGCCCAGACUCCUACGGGAGGCAGCAGUGGGGAAUAUUGCACAAUGGGCGAAAGCCUGAUGCAGCAACGCCGCGUGAGGGAUGAAGGCCUUCGGGUUGUAAACCUCUUUUAGCAGGGAAGAAGCGAAAGUGACGGUACCUGCAGAAAAAGCACCGGCUAACUACGUGCCAGCAGCCGCCGUAA